AGAGUUCCGGACAGAAACGGAAUUCUAAAGCAAUGGAUGUGAACUUAGCUUUGUUUCCCAAACUGGUACCAAGCUAUUCUUUCUCCCAUGACCCUCUAGUGGUUGUUACUGCUGAGGGUUAGAGUGGCCCAGGGAAUGUGAUGCUGAACACCAGACCUCACAUAGCAGAAUUCUGUCUGGAGGGAGUGACAAACUGUGGGAAAAACAAAAAGUUACAGAAUUAAGAAAAACAGCACCUGGCGAGAAAAGGAAUCGGAUGCCUUCCACAAGACCUGUUUCUUUAGGAAUCGGGAUUUACUCGACGACAGAAAGUUCUGGAAUCUGUGUUCACUGCAAAUGGAAAUAAGCGUUAUCAGGCAUCUGGGAGUUUCUGUAAAGAUCUUGUGGGACUGGGUGUACAGCACAGAGGCCUCCAGGUAUGAUCAAAUAGCAGCAGAUUGGUGGAAAGUUCUGGAGAACAGCUUCCGAUCUUUGCACAAAGAUACAGGAAAAGGAAUUCUCAUGUCCCCGCCUCUUCAGAAUGAUGAUGCUUCAAUCACGGCUUCUUCAGAAUCAAACAAGAUCAUUUGGAAAUCACAAAACAGUAUACAAAAAUUUUCAUCCUCAUCAUUAAGAGACAUAUACGACAUGGUCUGGGCUACCUUUCCAGCCCAGAGGAGCCAGAGCCUAAUGCCUGCCCACCUUCUUCAGAGGCCAGUAAGGGAACGGAGAGAACAGAGGUGGCUGCGGUUUUUCUCCAAGUGGACAGAGUUGGACAUGAGGUCUUUUGUUCAUGCCUUUAUUCAAGUCUCCCUACUAGGGACUUCCGAAAGGUGUGAAGCAAUGUUCUAUGGGUCUGAGAAA